UCGGCUUAUAUCGGCCGAGCGUGUAGCUUCAACUUCAGCUUUACGUUUAGGCUUAGUUUUAGAGGCCUUAUUCCGAACGUCCCCGACACGUUGUGUCUGGCUGUGUGAUCCGUAAAUGUAUCAGAAAAAGAAAUAACUUUUGAGAAAUCGAAAGAUGACGAACUGAGACAAGUGAAAUCCAUUUAUUAUUGUCUCCAAGAAACGUGAAAGAACAUGAAUGUCUUUUUAUGUGACAAAUACGAAUGCCGCAUGUGCCACUCAUAAGAGACGCAACUUUCACAAAUCAACCGGUAAAGUUGCUAUCAAAUUUACGUAUCUGUUAUCUGUUUGGAUAGAAAUGAAACCCAUGUAUAAAUUUGAAUAUAAAUUUUCAUGAUUAUUAUGACGUUAGAUAAUCGAUGAUGGGAACUUUGCAAUUCUUUUAAAUACAUUAUGAA